rnacentral:rRNA from 1 species
AAAUAGAUACCCGGGUAGUCCACGCCGUAAACGAUGUCGACUUGGAGGUUGUUCCCUUGAGGAGUGGGCUUCCGGAGCUAACGCGUUAAGUCGACCGCCUGGGGAGUACGGCCGCAAGGUUAAAACUCAAAUGAAUUGACGGGGGCCCGCACAAGCGGUGGAGCAUGUGGUUUAAUUCGAUGCAACGCGAAGAACCUUACCUACUCUUGACAUCCAGGGAACUUAGCAGAGAUGCUUUGGUGCCUUCGGGAACUCUGAGACAGGUGCUGCAUGGCUGUCGUCAGCUCGUGUUGUGAAAUGUUGGGUUAAGUCCCGCAACGAGCGCAACCCUUAUCCUUUGUUGCCAGCGGUCCGGCCGGGAACUCAAAGGAGACUGCCAGUGAUAAACUGGAGGAAGGUGGGGAUGACGUCAAGUCAUCAUGGCCCUUACGAGUAGGGCUACACACGUGCUACAAUGGCGCAUACAAAGAGAAGCGACCUCGCGAGAGCAAGCGGACCUCAUAAAGUGCGUCGUAGUCCGGAUUGGAGUCUGCAACUCG